GUGGGGAAUCUUCCGCAAUGGACGAAAGUCUGACGGAGCAACGCCGCGUGAGUGAUGAAGGUCUUCGGAUUGUAAAGCUCUGUUAAUCGGGACGAAAGAGCCUAGUGUGAAUAAUGCUAGGAAGUGACGGUACCGGAAUAGAAAGCCACGGCUAACUACGUGCCAGCAGCCGCGGUAAUACGUAGGUGGCAAGCGUUGUCCGGAAUUAUUGGGCGUAAAGCGCGCGCAGGCGGAUCUGCCAGUCUGUCUUAAAAGUUCGGGGCUUAACCCCGUGAUGGGAUGGAAACUACAGGUCUAGAGUAUCGGAGAGGAAAGUGGAAUUCCUAGUGUAGCGGUGAAAUGCGUAGAUAUUAGGAAGAACACCAGUGGCGAAGGCGACUUUCUGGACGAAAACUGACGCUGAGGCGCGAAAGCCAGGGGAGCGAACGGGAUUAGAAACCCCUGUAGUCC
rnacentral:rRNA from 1 species